rnacentral:misc_RNA from 1 species
UCUCCGUUGGUGAACCAGCGGAGGGAUCAUUACAGAGUUGCAAAACUCCCAAACCAUUGUGAACGUUACCUAUCCCGUUGCUUCGGCGGGCGGCCCGGGCCCCGCGCCCGGCGCCCCCCGGCCCCCCGUGGGCGCCCGCCGGAGGUAAACCAAACCCUUGAAUUGCAUGGCCUCUCUGAGUCUUCUGUACUGAAUAAAUCAAAACUUUCAACAACGGAUCUCUUGGUUCUG